rnacentral:rRNA from 1 species
GUUGUAUAGUCAAGUAAUUAAGUGCAUGUGGUGGAUGCCUUGGCAGUCAGAGGCGAUGAAAGACGUGAUAGCCUGCGAAAAGCUCCGGGGAGGCGGCAAAUAUCCUUUGAUCCGGAGAUGUCUGAAUGGGGGAACCCACCUACUUUAAGGUAGGUAUUGCAACAUGAAUACAUAGUGUUGCAAGGCGAACGAGGGGAAGUGAAACAUCUCAGUACCCUUAGGAAAAGAAAUCAAUUGAGAUUCCCUCAGUAGCGGCGAGCGAACGGGGAUCAGCCCAUUAAGUUAUGUGUGUUUUAGUGGAACGCUCUGGGAAGUGCGAACGUAGAGGGUGAUAUUCCCGUACACGAAAGGGCACACAUAAUGAUGACGAGUAGGGCGAGGCACGUGAAACCUUGUCUGAAUAUGGGGGGACCAUCCUCCAAGGCUAAAUACUCCUGACUGACCGAUAGUGAACCAGUACCGUGAGGGAAAGGCGAAAAGAACCCCUGUGAGGGGAGUGAAAUAGAUCCUGAAACCGCAUGCAUACAAGCAGUGGGAGCACCUUCGUGGUGUGACUGCGUACCUUUUGUAUAAUGGGUCAGCGACUUAUAUUCAGUAGCGAGGUUAACCGUAUAGGGGAGCCGUAGAGAAAUCGAGUCUUAAUAGGGCGUUUAGUUGCUGGGUAUAGACCCGAAACCAGGCGAUCUAUCCAUGAGCAGGUUGAAGGUUGGGUAACACUAACUGGAGGACCGAACCCACUGUCGUUGAAAAGCCAGGGGAUGACUUGUGGAUAGGGGUGAAAGGCUAAUCAAGCCUGGUGAUAGCUGGUUCUCCCCGAAAGCUAUUUAGGUAGCGCCUCGGACGAAUACCAUAGGGGGUAGAGCACUGUUUCGGCUAGGGGGUCAUCCCGACUUACCAAACCGAUGCAAACUCCGAAUACCUAUGAGUACUAUCCGGGAGACAGACUGCGGGUGCUAACGUCCGUAGUCAAGAGGAAAACAAUCCAGACCGCCAGCUAAGGCCCCAAAAUCAUAGUUAAGUGGGAAACGAUGUGGGAAGGCAUAGACAGCUAGGAGGUUGGCUUAGAAGCAGCCACCCUUUAAAGAAAGCGUAAUAGCUCACUAGUCGAGUCGGCCUGCGCGGAAGAUGUAACGGGGCUAAAACUAUGUGCCGAAGCUGCGGAUGUAUACUUUGUAUACGUGGUAGGGGAGCGUUCUGUAAGCCGAUGAAGGUGUGUUGAGAAGCAUGCUGGAGGUAUCAGAAGUGCGAAUGCUGACGUGAGUAACGACAAAACGGGUGAAAAACCCGUUCGCCGAAAGACCAAGGGUUCCAGUCCAACGUUAAUCGGGGCUGGGUGAGUCGACCCCUAAGGCGAGGCCGAAAGGCGUAGUCGAUGGGAAAAUGGUUAAUAUUCCAUUACUUCUGUGUAAUGCGAUGAGAGGACGGAGAAGGCUAAAUCAGCCUGGCGUUGGUUGUCCAGGUGAAAGGAUGUAGGCAUGUAUCUUAGGCAAAUCCGGGGUACUCUAUGCUGAGAUCUGAUAGCAAGCUGUACUUGUACAGCGAAGUGGUUGAUGCCAUGCUUCCAGGAAAAGUCUCUAAGCUUCAGUUACACAGGAAUCGUACCCGAAACCGACACAGGUGGUCAGGUCGAGUAGACCAAGGCGCUUGAGAGAACUCUGCUGAAGGAACUAGGCAAAAUGGUACCGUAACUUCGGGAGAAGGUACGCUGUUGUUGGUGAUGGAACUCGCUUCCUGAGCUGACGACAGCCGCAGAAACCAGGCCGCUGCAACUGUUUAUUAAAAACAUAGCACUCUGCAAACACGAAAGUGGACGUAUAGGGUGUGAUGCCUGCCCGGUGCUGGAAGGUUAAUUGAUGGGGUUAGCGUAAGCGAAGCUCUUGAUCGAAGCCCCAGUAAACGGCGGCCGUAACUAUAACGGUCCUAAGGUAGCGAAAUUCCUUGUCGGGUAAGUUCCGACCUGCACGAAUGGCAUAAUGAUGGCGGCGCUGUCUCCAGCAGAGGCUCAGUGAAAUCGAAAUCGCUGUGAAGAUGCAGUGUACCCGCGGCUAGACGGAAAGACCCCGUGAACCUUUACUGCAGCUUGACACUGAACUUUGACCUUACUUGUGUAGGAUAGGUGGGAGGCUUUGAAGCUGGAACGCUAGUUCCAGUGGAGCCGUCCUUGAAAUACCACCCUGGUAAUGUUGAGGUUCUAACUCUGUCCCGUGAUCCGGGACGAGGACCGUGUCUGGUGGGUAGUUUGACUGGGGCGGUCUCCUCCUAAAGAGUAACGGAGGAGUACGAAGGUGCGCUCAGCGUGGUCGGAAAUCACGCGUAGAGUAUAAAGGCAAAAGCGCGCUUAACUGCGAGACCCACAAGUCGAGCAGGUACGAAAGUAGGUCUUAGUGAUCCGGUGGUUCUGUAUGGAAGGGCCAUCGCUCAACGGAUAAAAGGUACUCUGGGGAUAACAGGCUGAUACCGCCCAAGAGUUCAUAUCGACGGCGGUGUUUGGCACCUCGAUGUCGGCUCAUCUCAUCCUGGGGCUGAAGCAGGUCCCAAGUGUAUGGCUGUUCGCCAUUUAAAGAGGUACGCGAGCUGGGUUUAGAACGUCGUGAGACAGUUCGGUCCCUAUCUACCGUGGGCGCUGGAAAUUUGAGAGGAUCUGCUCCUAGUACGAGAGGACCAGAGUGGACGAACCUCUGGUGUACCGGUUGUGACGCCAGUCGCAUCGCCGGGUAGCUAUGUUCGGAAGGGAUAACCGCUGAAAGCAUCUAAGCGGGAAGCCUACCUCAAGAUAAGAUUUCCCUAGGACUUUAUGUCCUCUAAAGAGCCGUUCGAGACUAGGACGUUGAUAGGUUGGAUGUGGAAGCAUAGUGAUAUGUGAAGCUGACCAAUACUAAUUGCUCGUGAGGCUUGACUAUACAACACCCAAGCAGUUG